GCUGUUGUGGCUCAGUGGUAGAGUUGUCCCAUGCACCAAAGGGUUGUGGGUUCGAUUCCCAGUCAAGGGCA
rnacentral:tRNA from 1 species